UGAGGAAUAUUGCACAAUGGGCGCAAGCCUGAUGCAGCAACGCCGCGUGCGGGACGAAGGCCUUCGGGUCGUAAACCGCUUUUCUGGGGGAAGAGCAAGGACGGUACCUCAGGAAUAAGUCUCGGCUAACUACGUGCCAGCAGCCGCGGUAAAACGUAGGAGGCGAGCGUUAUCCGGAUUUACUGGGCGUAAAGCGCACGCAGGCGGCUCUGUUAGUCGGACGUGAAAGCUCUCGGCUUAACCGGGAGAGGCCGUUCGAUACUGCGGGGCUUGAGGUAGGGAGAGGAAUGCGGAAUUCCCGGUGUAGUGGUGGAAUGCGUAGAUAUCGGGAGGCACACCUGUGGCGAAAGCGGCAUUCUGGCCCUCACCUGACGCUGAGGUGCGAAAGCGUGGGUAGCAAACA
rnacentral:rRNA from 1 species